AGAAACAGAAGGGCUCCUGUCACCAGAUGGAGAGAAGGAUUUGGGUUCUGUUUACAUGUCAUUGGAUUGUUCCAUCAAAAUGUUGUUUCCAAGAGGGGGAAGGACUACAUCCUGAAGCACAUUCCAAACAUGCACAAAGAUCAGUUUGCACUAACAGCUUCCGAAGCUCAUCUUAAAUAUAUCAAAGAGGCUGUCCGACUGGACGACGUUGCUGUUCAUUACUACAGAUUGUAUAAGGAUAAAAGGGAAAUUGAAGCUUCGCUGACUCUUGGAUUGACCAUGAGGGGAAUACAGAUUUUUCAGAAUUUAGAUGAAGAGAAACAAUUACUUUAUGAUUUCCCCUGGACGAAUGUUGGAAAGUUGGUGUUUGUGGGUAAGAAAUUUGAGAUUUUGCCAGAUGGCUUGCCUUCAGCCCGGAAGCUCAUAUACUAUACGGGAUGCCCCAUGCGCUCCAGACACCUCCUGCAACUUCUGAGCAACAGUCACCGCCUCUAUAUGAAUCUGCAGCCUGUCCUGCGCCAUAUCCG
rnacentral:sRNA from 1 species